rnacentral:rRNA from 1 species
UACGAAGGGGGCUAGCGUUGUUCGGAAUUACUGGGCGUAAAGCGCGCGCAGGCGGUCCUUCAAGUCAGAGGUGAAAGCCCAGAGCUCAACUCUGGAACGGCCUUUGAGACUAGAGGACUUGGGUACGGGAGAGGUGAGUGGAAUUCCGAGUGUAGAUGUGAAAUUCGUAGAUAUUCGGAAGAACACCAGUGGCGAAGGCGGCUCACUGGCCCGUUACCGACGCUCAGGCGCGACAGCGUGGGGAGCAAACAGG